rnacentral:rRNA from 1 species
UCAGAACGAACGCUGGCGGCACGCCUAACACAUGCAAGUCGAGCGCUACCUUCGGGUGGAGCGGCGGACGGGUUAGUAACGCGUGGGAACAUACCCUUUUCUACGGAAUAGCCUCGGGAAACUGAGAGUAAUACCGUAUACGCCCUUCGGGGGAAAGAUUUAUCGGAGAAGGAUUGGCCCGCGUUAGAUUAGAUAGUUGGUGGGGUAAUGGCCUACCAAGUCUACGAUCUAUAGCUGGUUUGAGAGGAUGAUCAGCAACACUGGGACUGAGACACGGCCCAGACUCCUACGGGAGGCAGCAGUGGGGAAUCUUAGACAAUGGGCGCAAGCCUGAUCUAGCGAUGCCGCGUGAGUGACGAAGGUCUUAGGAUCGUAAAGCUCUUUCGCCAAGGAUGAUAAUGACAGUACUUGGUAAAGAAACCCCGGCUAACUCCGUGCCAGCAGCCGCGGUAAUACGGAGGGGGUUAGCGUUGUUCGGAAUUACUGGGCGUAAAGCGCACGUAGGCGGACUAUUAAGUUAGAGGUGAAAUCCCGGGGCUCAACCCCGGAACUGCCUUUAAUACUGGUAGUCUAGAGUUCGAGAGAGGUAAGUGGAAUUCCGAGUGUAGAGGUGAAAUUCGUAGAUAUUCGGAGGAACACCAGUGGCGAAGGCGGCUUACUGGCUCGAUACUGACGCUGAGGUGCGAAAGUGUGGGGAGCAAACAGGAUUAGAUACCCUGGUAGUCCACACCGUAAACGAUGAAUGCCAGACGUCAGGGGGCUUGCCCUUUGGUGUCACACCUAACGGAUUAAGC